CCAAAAUUCCUCUUUUGUACAUAAAUAUAUAAAUAUAAAUAAGUAAUUUUAUAAAAUAAUUAAAUAAUACUAUUGUAAUACGAAAAUAAUUAAAUAAGUAAUACUCCUACAGAAGGCUAUUCAAGCGGAAUUUUCACUGACCCCUAACGGCGGAGCUCCGAUAAAUAUUAAUGGAAGCCGUGGAAGCAGCAACGGUGGCGGCAGGCCAAGAACAGCAACCGCCGGCGAAGGUUGUAGAGCAGCUGAACCCUGCGCUUCAGCAGCAGCUCAAUCUGGACUCUUUAAAAACUCGCGCUAUCAGCCUGUUCAAAGCCAUCUCUCGCAUCCUCGAAGAAUUGGACGCUAUAGCGCGCGCGAAUGCCACCCCCAAAUAAUACGAGCAUGCCAUUUCAGUUCAACCAGUUUCCGCUGCAGUCGAGCAAAUUCUUUUGCAAUUGAUCAUUUAGGGUUUUGUUUGUGCAGGCAAGAUGUUUCGGGGCAGUUCUCGAUGGUUAAUUUGGAGCUAUAUAAUAUUGUUGAAGAUAUUAAGAAUGUAUCCAAGGCUUUCUCUGUACAUCCUAAAAAUGUUAAUGCUGAGAAUGCUACUAGUAUGUACACUACAUAAGUGGAUUAACUUUUUUCACUGCAGUCGUACUAUUCAGUUUAUGUAAGCAUUCACAUUAUUUAUCAUGUCGGUUAAUACUGAGAAUGCUAUUAGUAUGUGUUGAUUUAUCUGGUACACUGCACACGUAGAUUAAUCUUUUUCCUUUCAGUCAUUUUAUUUGGUUUAUUUUUCAUUGUGAUUAAGCAUUCACAUUAUUUAUCAGGGGUUAGCUAUAAGGUCGUUAAGAGUUUGUCGAAAUGUUGGCUUAUAAGAUUGCAUCACUUCAAGGCAUAAAAAGGCAAUGAGAAGGAGAAAGACAAAAGAGGAAUGACAAAUCCACAGCUGGGUUCUUUUGGGUGUUAUUUGGCUGCAGCUCUGCCUGUUAUGCUGUCAUCUAAGCUUUUGCCGGGAAUGGAGACGGAAGACAACACGAAGAGAGAACAGCUGUUACACGGUAUGCAGGGCCUUCCAGUGGUGGCAAAACAUGACAAGUUCAAGACUAGAAUUGAUAUGAAUCUAAGAGCAGCCUGUGGAAGUGCUGAGAUGAUCAUAGCUGAUGCCCGUAAGUCCUACUUUGGCACUCGACAUGGCCACAUGGGGCAAAUCUUCUCCCAACUAUUGACAAGGUUCAAGCUGCAAAAAUACAAGAACAAGAAAAUUAUUUACUCAGCUGCUCUCAACACGUUAUGAAUGUUUGUGCCACUUGAUCAGUUUCAGUUGUGUUUGAUGCACUUCAAGAAUUGCAUAUCCACAAGAUUACGAGUACCUGGAGACCAAAGACAAGUGGCAUUGUCACUUCCGAUGCACUUGGUAGAUGUACUUGCUACUAACGAGUAACGACAGGCUCCAGGAUUCAUCUGGGUUGUACCAGAAGCACGCCUCCACUCAUGUCAACUACUGCCAUUAAUAAUCAGGGCUCUUUAUUACAGCUUCUCACUUCACGGAGAAGAAGAAAAAUGCUGAUUUGGUGCAUGCGCCCUUGCUCAUCACUUAUGCCUCUAUGCUCUCUCUCUGUCCGCUUUUUGUGAUUCUACUGUAAGUUCUCCCUUUUCCUUUCUCUGUUUUGUUUUCGCUCGAUCGAUCCGCUUUUCUUAUACAAUUGAAGGUUGUUGUGGUCGCCUUCUGUGAAAACCAUCUGGAUGGUUUUGGCUGUUUUUAUUGAUUUUUAAGUGCUAGAUUAACGUAAUUGGAUUUGCUGUGACUUGACUUAACUCAUCAUUGGCGUCGACCGAUGCGAUUACUCGCAGUAGUUUGUUUGUUUGUUUACUGUGUUUGAUGGAUGCAUUAAAUUAAAUGAUGUUCAUGCUGAUGGAUCCGUGUUGCAAACAUGGGAUUAAUCUAUAUCUUUCCAAAGCCCACUGCCACUACAUGAAAGACCAUUGCUUGUUUUGAGGCUGUCCUCCAGCUUCUGCUCCCUUGGAGAAGGUGGCUAAUGGUGUUCUAGCAUAUGUGGUGAUGCUGGUUACAUAUCUUGGCCUCUGGUGGUAAGGAUCUUUCAAGAGUUUUCUCAUGCUUUAUUUCUUAUAUAAUAUUUUUUUUUUCUUUUUUUUUUCUGAUGUAUCAUACUUGUUCAUUUCUGUCUUCUCAUCGAAACUGAGCAUUGUGCUCUUAGUUGCUUAGUGCUUGCUCGAAAUCUCUCAAGCACUGUUUCUAGAUGUAGUCAACGUUUUAAGCCAAGGUGGUUUUUAUCUUGUAAGUUCCCUAACCUUCUAGUGCAGAGUUUAUGGAUAUCUUUGUAAUUUUUUUCAAGUUUGGAAUUUUCAACCUUACAAUAGUUUAUGACCAUUUGGGAGAGAUAUUUUCUGCAUUAAUAAAUUCGGGAGCUUCGUCUUUUGCAUAUUCCUGUACGUCAAUGAUCAAAGUAAGUAGUCAUGGCUAUAGGUAGGUACCUCUAAUAUUCCAAUUGUUCUCAGUUGCACAUGUUUUUUUCUCUGUUUUUCCCUAGGGCCAUGUUGCGCUAUCUUCAACAGAUUCUGGAUUGUAUGGAAACUUAAUUAUUGAUUUCUAUUGGGUGGAAUUUUGGUUCUAUCCUCGUAGUAGUCUUUGUUUCUGUCCCUGCAGCAGUACUUUGCUGUGUAGCCAAAAUAACAGUAACGUAAUGAAGACAGAUGGAAUCUUUUGUACAUAAAUUGUGGAAAUUUGUUGCUGAUAUAAUGAUCACUUAACCGAAAGUAAAAGAUUGAUCCGCUAUCUUUUUUCAGGGAAUGGAGUUGUAUCCUGGCAUUGUCAAAGUAUUCACAAACUGCAGAUUUGGAAUGAUGUCUUGGGCUGUUCUUGCUGUUACCUAUUGCAUAAAGCAGUACAAAACAUAUGGCAAGCCACCGAUUCUAUGUUGGUUAACACAGUAUUAGAACACAAUGGAAUCUGGAUAUAGCUCAUGAUAGAGCUGGAUUUUACAUCUGUUGGGGAUGUUUGGUGUGGGUCCCAUCUAUAUAUACAUCUCCUGGCAUGUACCUUGUGAAUCACCCGGUGAAUCUUGGAGUUAAGUUAACUUUGUGUUUCAGCUAGCAAUCCUCAUUCUUGUAGCAGCCAUACUCUGUAUAUACAUACACUACGAUUGUGACAGGCAAAUACAAGAAUUUAGGAGGACGAAUGGGAAAUGCCUGGUCUGGGGAAAAGCACCAUCCAAGGUGGGGCUUAGCUCGUAACUUCC